rnacentral:lncRNA from 1 species
GGCCAGGCCCACGCCCAGAGUCAUCAUGAUGUUGUAGCCGUAGGUAGCCAGGCCCACCACAAUGCCGGCGCCGCCCAUGGCCAUCACCCAGAUGGGGGUGUCGCCGUUGGACGUGAUGGUCCAGAAACGGUACACGUACCAGAUGCCGGAGAAGGGGCCGACAGCGUUGGCGACAUCGUUGGCUCCGUGCGCGAAAGACACGGCGCAGGCAGAGAAGACCUGCAGGUACUUGUACACCUGCUCGGUCUCGGGGGAGAACACCUCGGCGGCAGCGUGCAUGUCGUGGAUGGUCUGGUCGUGCUCCACGUGCUGCGCGCGGCAAGGGCACCAGGGAGGUCUCGCGUGAAUACACUGGCAAGUUUGUGCUCGGGGUUUCGGGGUCUACACCAACCCACCCAGCUCCAUACCGUUCACUGCCGAAAUGUCCAGGACCCACCUCGUGAAUGUCGACGUUCAGGCCGCGGGUGGCAGCCUUCUUCAUCGAGUUGAAGAUCUUCAUGGCCUUGGAGGUGGGCUCAGCCUCCACCUCCUCCUCCUUGGGCUUGCCGGCGUUGGCCUCGGCGUCAGCAGCCUUCUGGGCAGCCCUGCAGAGUCGAGCAUUCCCAAAGUGUUAGCAGUUGCUUUGCCGCAAGCAUGUCCUGCGACUAUGAAUACCGGUAUGCAUAUGCAUGGCGCUCCUGACGGCACACGGACACAAGACGCACGGCAACGCAGCACCUAGCGUCAAACGCACCGGUCCAUGUCCUUGGUGACGGCACGGCGCAGCAGCCACAUGCCGGGGAAGAUGGCGAGAAGCAUGCAGCCUGCGGGUCAAUCCGUGGGGUUACAUUCAUGACUAAUCAGGGAAGUCGUACACGGGCCACCUGUGGCCUCGGGUGGGUCAAUCCCAAGCAAUGGUUGUCCAAAUAUCCCGGUCGUUAGUGUCAUAAUGCAACCCAGUCAGAACCGCAGACGACUCUUAACGCUUACCAGCAGUAAUGCACGCAGCCACCCAGGCGGCCUUGUUCGAGUCCCAGUGAGCCACGUUCUUGGCUCCCUUGUAGAUCACGAAGAAAACUGUUGGAACAAGUCCAUGCACGCAAACCGAGCGUUAGCGGAGCGGACACCUGGCAUGUAUCCGGUUUUGGCAUCAGGCGCCUCCGGCCAGAACAAUUGCUCGUCAGACCCACGCCACUGCAACACACAAUCGCACGCCCGGCGAUGACUUCGGCAACCUGCAUCCCUCCAAGCCCUAUGCAAAUGUACGUGCAAUUCCAGCACCAACGGCACCUUAUGAGCCCGUAACUGAUCUCCAGCCACCCACCGUUGAUGAACACGGUGACACCAACCAGCAGGGGGUACAUGUAGAUUGCCAGGUUGGUCGAGUUCUCGCGGCGGAGGAUGCACACGCGGUUGAGCCAGAAGAUGAUGGCAGACGCAAUGCCUGCAGCAAGGGAAGAGGGUUGGGUGCACGAGUGUGUGAGAAGCAGUGCACGCAAUCGUAAUGGAAUAAGCAACCGAUCCAUGCAUGACAGACGAAGCCGACGUGCAGCUGCGGCAGGAAGAUGAGUACAGGUUCCAGGAACGCAGGUCUUGCCCCGACCCAUGGCGAGCCUCACUAAUUUGUGAGUUCCACGACACCCCACACUCAGGCUGAACGAACACGUACACGCCUGUCUUGGCAUAAGACAGUGCACUCACCCGACAUGAGGGGCGACACGAACCAGGAGCAGAUGACGGGCACCAGACCCUUCGAGUAGGGGAAGGCGUCCAUGUGGUCGUUCCACACCACGGCGCCAGAGCCACCCCACACCAGGGCAAAGCCCAUCACCGCGCCGAUGACGGAGUGAGUGGUGGACACGGCCAGGCUAAAGUAGGUAGCGGUGAACACCCAGGUAGAGGCGGAAAUGAGCGCGCACAUCAUGCCGUACGCGAACAUCUCUGGGAGGUCCUGGAACGCGGUGGGGCGAGCGAUGGAGCCAGCGAUGGUCUUGGUCACCUCGCCACCCAGGCCGAUGGCUCCGGCGAACUCGAAGACGGAAGCGAUGAGGCAAGCCUGCUUCAGGGUAAUGGUCUUGGCGCCGACGGAGGUGCCGAAGGCGUUGGCCACUGUUGGGGGUAGGGGGUUGCAGGUCGGGUUAGUGCCAGGAUAUACACUUGCAUUGGGCUAGUCCGUAAGCGGAGCUGGUUUCCGUGUCAGUGGCACCCUGUUCCACCGGAAUCAGGUCAAGGGACCUGAAGCUGAUGCUCACCAUCAUUGGCACCGAUGCCGGCGGCCAUGAUAAAUGAGACAAUGAAGCCCACAAUCACCAGCCACAUGUAAUCUGCAUCCAGAUGCAGCAGAAGAAAAGAGCAGUGUUGGUAGGCGCAGGAGUUGCGUUGGGGCGGCCCAUGGAGCUAUGGCUACAACAUUAUGCUGGCAAGACCUAGCAUUACGAUGCGCCUACCUGUCCAGUACUCCGGCGGCAUCUGCGGGCGGGUAGGAACAUGAGCGCGGGCAGAGGGGCAAAAGUGAACAGCGAGGGCGAGGGAAAGCAACAGGAGGGAAGGAGGUGCGGCGCUGCGAAGGAGGUGCGGCGCUGCGGAAGAAAGCCAAUGCUAGGCAAAACGCUGACUACAAUAUCGAGUCCACCAUCAAGCGGCUGCCCCAUAAGCAAGUUCGUCGGAGAACGUGAUGCUGAUGCGGCGCAAGCAAUCGGUCACGCUCGGCGGCUGAAGUCAUCGCAAGCCGAACAGACAAUAACGGCCUGAUGCCCGCUGCAACUCUAGUGUUACGCCACACCACCGCAGCGCUGAAACGGGAGUGAACAACCCCACGGGUGUCAGUCCACUUUACGUCUGUCCUGGCCACCCACCUUCGCUGGACUGUCGGUCGCUUAAACAGCCCGUCAAGGCAGGAAGGUACUCUAGAAAGAGAGAACAGGCAGGCUCAGAGCAGGAGUGUGUGGUCGUCGAAGGUCCACCUUUACGGCUUGGCGAAGCAGGUUGUGGCAAAGUCUCUUAAUUAUGUCAAAGGUUGCUCACACACGCUUUAUGCGGCAGCUGAAAUCCGGCGAGAGGCGGUUUCGCCGGAAUUUCGUCAUCAUGAUGAUUCCAAAGGAAUCAAGUUGCUUUUUUGCGGAACAAGCUUUUCACAAGCUUUUCACAGGCGCAGCAUUGACUUUGUUAGUCCUGUCAAAAAUUUUGCAUUCCGAGGUGAAGCACCUCGGAAAUUCUCUGUCUGACAGAGAAGUCUACGAAAUUCUCUGGAGUAACGCAAAUUAAUGCACGUUUUAGAAAACAUACGAUAUCACACAUGCAUCAAACUGGGACGCGACGAUGUCCCGAAACGCUGGAUUUCAACCUUCCCACUCAGAGCAGAAAACGCAGUCAUGGCCUCUGCGUCAUCGCCGGGAAACGAUACUAAAUGCAAUUCAUCAUGAAGAACUCAAACAACUCAAUAUCAGAACAAACCCCCCUCGCAUCAAACUGAAGACAGAGUGCCGCCAUCCGCCACGGCACGCCAUACAAGUCACCGUCAAUGCAGUGGGUCGGCGCCGCAGGGCUUAUCCGUGCGGCGUAGAACUGUUUGGCGGGCAGGUUGGCACGGGGUGGAGCGGUUGAACCGGUGGUGACAUUGAGCCGCGGUGACGAUGCUCGAGGUAGUCGAAGUAGCCUGCGCGUCUCCAUACAGCUGCAGCUCCACAUGGGCGCAAAUGUGGCAUAGCAAGGGGCAGGCACGGCAGGCGGCACGUCAAUGGCACAGACCCGCAGGGAUGCGGUGGGACAGGGUGUGCGAUGGGACAGGGGAAGGGCACGGGGUAAGGGGCAGGUUGGCAGCCCCGUAGAGUUCAGCGUAUUCCCAAAUGGUCGCGGAAUGGGACAUCAGGCGAGACAUAUCAAGAUGGCCGCAUCAGCUAAGAUUCACAACUCACCUGUCCCGGGAAGGUAGCAUUCAUCACGGGCAUCCAGCGAGCGGUGUCGGUCUUCAGGUUAUGGAUGGACUGCAAGGCAGGCCUGCCGUGCAGGGGAGUCAGGUGACAAGGGGAACGUUGGGCGCGUCAGUUGGACGAAACACAUGUGCUGCGCCCAAGCGGCCCCGCUUCCAUACGGCAUGCAAUACGUAAUGCGCGAAUUGCCUUUUAAGGAGCCAAUGCGUGUCAUACGGUAAGCUAAGAACCCAACCACAGCAGGCCAAGACUUACGAUAUCAUAGUGGAUGUCCUUGCUAUUGGCCAGCUCCAGCACGUCGGGCGCCGGUCAACAGGGGCGCCUGCGGUUCAUUAAGUGACAAUGUAGGGGCAACCGUAUGAAGACGGCCAAGGGUCGAAGGGGACUGAAGUGUGCUUCGGCGAUGGUGGACACGCAAGGCCAUGGGCAAACCGUGUCCAGGAAGCCACUCACCGUAGGCGUGCACACAUAACACAAAAUAGCAAAACUGCAGUAUACGGGCAAACCGUGUCCAGGAAGCCACUCACCGUAGGCAUGCACACAUAACACAAUCAAGCGAAACUGCAGUACGGUAUACAUGCUUAGGAACCAUGCAAGUGAACCAGAAGACAGAAGUCCAAACAAUGUUUACAGUAUUAAUCAUGCAUCGGUGUUUCCCGCACAACAAGAAAGCACUCGUCAGGUGGGAUCGUAAAAGUGUGCAAGCAGUAUGCAACAAGUUCCCUACACCGACUACAGGCUGCCACUGUGCCAAACAACAGUGCAAGCCUCACAGUGCAAGCCUCACAGAGCCUGCCUCACAGAGCCUGCACAGCAACCACUCUGUCAGCAAAGAGCCGUAUCUCAGUAUCUAGUGGCAGCUUAGCAGCCUUAAGCCAGCACCACACCAUCCUGCAGACCGCGUCCUCUACGUGCCCGCACGCGCAGUAGUCCUGGUUUUCAUGGUCAGUCACGUUCUCAAUGAUUUAUUCUAGGAAUGCAACAGCCUACCGCCCGCCAGCGGGUGCCGCUGUGGGCCAGGGCUGCACCUGGAUGGUCGUGGCAGCGUACGGCUGGCCAGCGGGCACGUAGGCGCGGCUGCUGCUGUUGAAGCCAGUGGUGAGGGCAGAGUUGUUCUGGUAGGUCGUGAUGGCAGCGUUCAUCUGGGCAAUCAGCAUCGGAGGGUCAACGUAGCCGAUGUUCUUGGUGUUGAGCAUGGCGGUCAGGGCCUUGGUCUGGGAAGCGAUGGUGGCGUUCAGGUACUUGUCGAAGUAAGCCGGGCCAAAGGUCUUGUUCACGGCGAUGUUCUCCUUGGUCAGCUGGGCGUACAGGGUCACCGUCACGUUCUGCAUCGGAAACAACAGGGACGAGUGGGGUUCAGACGGCGGGCACGGAAACAGGCAGCGCACUUUUGUCUCGCGAAUUAAUAGCGCUUGGGUCGAGACCCCGGACCAGGGCCUCCGGCUUUCACACGCGUAGGAAGUCGCGCAACGACCGGGACAUUCAGUGUCGGCUGAAACAGUAUGGACACGGGAGCCUGCAACAUGACUUAACCGGGACUCCCAACAGCCGCUUCCCGUUUAAACCCACCGUCAUGCCCUUCUUGUACUUGGCGAUGUCCUUGGACAUGGUCAGAGACGGCGAGUAGGCGCCGUACGCGAAGAUGGCAGCGCAGAGGAAGCCCGACACAAUCAGGGUGAACACCCAGGCAACGACCUGCUUGGCGAACAGCUUCCAGUUCACGCCGCUGCGCAGGUCCUCGACCAGGCCCACGCCCAUCUCGCCACCGGUAAUAAUUUGGGUGGUGGACACAGGCAGGCCGUACACGGAGGCAAUGGAGACGGUGAACGAGGUAGCCAGCUCAGCGCAGAAGCCGCGGGACGGCGUCAUCUGCGGAACAGGCAUUGUAGGGGGAACAAGUGCCAAGGGUGAGCUGGAGAGCGCCGGAAACUUAUGCUCGCAAGCAUGACCGCUCCUACUAUCAAACCCUGCCACUGCGCCAUACAUGAGCAGUGUCCACGCGCCCACAGCCUGCUGCCUUUGCAUCAGCGCACCUUGGCCAGGCCCACGCCCAGAGUCAUCAUGAUGUUGUAGCCGUAGGUAGCCAGGCCCACCACAAUGCCGGCGCCGCCCAUGGCCAUCACCCAGACGGGGGUGUCGCCGCUGGACGAGAUGGUCCAGAAGCGGUACACAUACCAGAUGCCGGAGAAAGGGCCGACAGCGUUGGCGACAUCGUUGGCUCCGUGCGCGAAAGACACGGCGCAGGCAGAGAAGACCUGCAGGUACUUGUACACCUGCUCGGUCUCGGGGGAGAACACCUCGGCGGCAGCGUGCAUGUCGUGGAUGGUCUGGUCGUGCUCCACGUGCUGCGCGCGGCAAGGGCACCAGGGAGGUCUCGCGUGAAUACACUCGCAAGUUUGUGCUCGGGGUCUCGGGGUCUACACCAACCCACUCAGCUCCAUACCGUUCACUGCCGAAAUGUCCAGGACCCACCUCGUGAAUGUCGACGUUCAGGCCGCGGGUGGCAGCCUUCUUCAUCGAGUUGAAGAUCUUCAUGGCCUUAGAGGUGGGCUCAGCCUCCACCUCCUCCUCCUUGGGCUUGCCGGCGUUGGCCUCGGCGUCAGCAGCCUUCUGGGCAGCCCUGCAGAGUCGAGCAUUCCCAAAGUGUUAGCAGUUGCUUUGCCGCAAGCAUGUCCUGCGACUAUGAAUACCGGUAUGCAUAUGCAUGCGCGCGCAUCGUCUCAGACCCUACAACAAAUUGAACACAAGCAAUCUGCACAAUCAAGCAGACAAACUGAAGAAGCACAGUGCCUCCCGUAAUGUACUCACCGGUCCAUGUCCUUGGUAACGGCACGGCGCAGCAGCCACAUGCCGGGGAAGAUGGCGAGAACCAUGCAGCCUGCGGAUCAGUUCACACCGACACAACUUUCAAUGGCUAUUCUCGGUUGCGUGAAGCCUGUGCAUUGCAGUUCCUGACACUGGCACGUGAAGUGCCCAGCUUGCCACCGGGUGGCACACAGCACCACAGCAGGUAUUCGCACCAGUGCUUUGCUCACCGGCCAUGAUGCACGCAGCCACCCAGGCGGCCUUGUUCGAGUCCCAGUGAGCCACGUUCUUAGCUCCCUUGUAGAUUACAAAGAAAACUGUGGGCAGGCAACAGAGGCAAGAUGAAACGUGACGAACACGAGCAGUUCCUCAAUAGACACUAUCGCCUCUGUCACUUGUGGCAGUCAACAGACAGUCAACUAGAGGGCGUGCUCUCGACUAUCAUACUGGUUGAUACAUUGCAAUGCGCGCACAGUACUGCUGAGUCCCGGCAAGACCACCAUGCCGGCUAGAUUCCUUGGGUGUUGCAUUGUCUACCUCCUUCCAGCCACCCACCAUUGAUGAAGACGGUGACACCCACAAGAAGGGGGUAAAAGUAAAUUGCCAACUGGGUUGAGUUCUCGCGGCGAAGGAUGCACACGCGGUUCAGGCUGAAGAGAAUAGCAGCAGUAAUUCCUGCCGCAAGGAGGAAGGAAUAGUUGGUUAGAUAUGUGAGAAUCUGGGGGGACACACUAAAAAGCAACAUUUAGGCCUGCUGCAGGAUAGUGAAACGAGGAAACCAUUACUCAGGUCGGAAUUGCUUCGCACUUACCCGACAUGAUGGGCGACACGAACCAGGAGCAGAUCACGGGCACCAGACCCUUCGAGUAGGGGAAGGCGUCCAUGUGGUCGUUCCACACCACGGCGCCAGAGCCACCCCACACCAGGGCAAAGCCCAUCACCGCGCCGAUGACGGAGUGGGUGGUGGAUACGGCAAGGCAGAAGUAUGUGGCAACGAACACCCAGGUAGAUGCGGCAAUAAGCGCGCACAUCAUGCCGUACGCGAACAUCUCUGGGAGGUCCUGGAACGCGGCGGGGCGAGCGAUGGAGCCAGCGAUGGUCUUGGUCACCUCGCCACCCAGGCCAAUGGCACCGGCGAACUCAAAGACGGAAGCGAUGAGGCAAGCCUGCUUCAGGGUAAUGGUCUUGGCGCCGACGGAGGUGCCGAAGGCGUUGGCCACUGUUGGGGGUAGGGGGUUGCAGGUCGGGUUAGUGGCAAGGCACUAGGGCAAGGGUUACUGGUGCAAUAUCUACAUGGAGGUAAGGUCCACAUUGUUGCGGACCCAACACUCACCAUCGUUAGCACCAAUACCGGCGGCCAUAAUAAAUGAGACAAUAAAGCCCACAAUCACCAGCCACAUAUAAUCUGUUAGGCAGGUGGCGUUGACAAUUGGAGGGAGGAGCAAGGGGCAGAUGAUGGGGUACCGUAAGUUUGGUUCUGAAGGUGGAACGGGGCAGCAGCACGGCGCUUGCAGUGAUGGCAGGCCCAGCACUGCUUUCGCAACGUCAUGUAAUUCCAUUUUACUAGUCCCAAACAUUGCGCUUACCUGUCCAGUACUCCGGCGGCAUCUGUGGGGCCGACCAAAGAAAAAGAAGGGAAGUGGCAGGAGGGGGCGUGAGCCGAGCGUCACAGCAGUCGGCUGACUGGCCCCAGGGAGCUGGGCUAUAUAAGGUGAGAGUGACCAGGGCUUCCUUUGUUUCAAUCAACCUAUUGAGUAUGUCUUUGUGGGUUCCGUUCCUGAGCGGACAAGUGCGCAGCAAGCACGGAGUGUAGAGCAUGGACAUCCCUGUAUUUGCAUGGCGGGCACACGGACGACUAGUCCGCGCCAGGCGACGAGCGGACAUACCUUUGCGAGAGUUGUCGAUCCAAAACCCCGUCAGGGCGGCAGGUGCUGGCUGGCCGGGCGGAAGGGCGCUCAACCUCAAGAGGGAUUUAUCAAGCGGUGCACGGCGUCGUGCGCUCGGUACUUCUGGAGGCGGGUCUAGGUUUGCGUCUGUCACAAUUAGUUGUAUGGGGUAUGUGAAUUGAUAUAUAAUGGUGGAAGCCCGACAAAUGCUGGCCCAAUGAGAAAGAGGGGAAUUCCUGUCUCACCGACGAUAUUCGGCAUCACCAACGUUACCCGGCCGCGCCCUCCAUUCACUCGUUGCAGUGCAUUACAAGGAUUUCGCUAUAUCAGAGUGUGUGAUUGAAGUGCAGAAGAUGCGAGUCAGAGGAACGGUCGGGCAGGUCCGGGGUGGGGUGUUCGUAAGUCGGGUACCGGCGGAAGGCGGGUACACGAAUGCCCAUGCUGUCAACCGCACCGCCAGGCCCGCAUGUGGUGUCGCGAGCUAGCUGGCUAUGCAUAAGUAUAGAGUAUAAUUAAGUUUGUAUUCCUCCAGCCGCUGUUUGCAAUACACACUCCCCCACCAGAAGCAGGGUGGGAUGAACCCGAUUGCCUCGCUCGCCCUCCCUGUUCAGUCAUUCAGCCGCUAUACAAUUCCCGGUCUUCAGAGUGCGGCUUCGUGCAGCGGUUGGUCACGACUAUCCAACCUGCUCCCGUCACGUGCCUCCCCGUGCUCGUAUGCGUGUCGCCCUGUCAGCUCCCUGCUUUGCUCCCUCCUAGGCCUUCCCUGCCCUGCCUGUGCCUCACCGUGAACCUGGACAGCAGGCCCGCCAGCGCGUCCCGGCUGAGCUUAACCAGGAUGCCGGCUUUCUCCAGCGGCUCCAGCAGCGCAGCCUAGCAUGCAUAUAAUGUUAGCAAACGCUAGCAAACAGUGUACAGUAUACGAUUGUGUACCUUAACGAGUCCCACCUGGCUAGGUGCAUUCACUCGAGAGCCUUGAUCCUUGACAACGCCUGCCGCCGAAAGCAUUGUGCAGCCACAUGCGCAUCCAGGCCCACCAGGUGUACAGCUACACUGACAGCCUGUGCUCACGGGUGGAAGCAUGGAGGGGAAGAGCGCAUGUCAGGUGUGCGGGACAGGUUCGUCCAGGACAGGCGACAGCAAGCCAGCAAAAUGCAACACAGUAUGGGCGGGGCACAGCACCACCACAGCGCACAUGUCCAGGAGGCACAUGACUUGCCUGUGGUUCCUUGAUCGCAUCGUUGCAUCCAGGCACAUGCGACCGCGCACACACAUGUUAGGCAUUGAACACAUAGUCUCUCCCUGUGCAGUGACUGCACACACAAGCCUGACGGACAGCGGCGGUUCAGAGAGCAACCGUCCUUCACACUUGCAUUGCUAAAAUGCUGUGCGCUAGUGUCUUCACCUCUUCGCCCCGAUAUCUCACGGACGGGACUGAUUGCCACAGUGAUUACAAACAAGUGUCAGGAACAGUCGUGCACAAUACCCCACGCAUCAUCAAAGAUAUCCCAGCCCGCUAUCCAGCCCCGCCUAUCGUAUUUCUAGCCUAUGUAUUGCCUGCACGCGUUAGGCUCGUUGGGCCCGCUCGCAUUCGUAAUCACCGGUAGCGAUGAUCGUACUCGAAUUCAAUGUCAUUCAGUGAGUCAUGAUAGGCGAUUGAGUUCCAUCCUGCUCACAAGGUUGCAAGUCGUGAUGGCACCAGUCCACAUGUCCGACAACGGUAAUACUGACAUUCAAUCAAAAUCUAUGCCACUGUAAAAGUGAUGUGCAAACCGCUGAGCCACAUGACACUACGCCGUGCCCCACUUCAGCAGUUGUGCGCGACGCAGGCCUGGCCUUACCGCCCGCCGGCGGGAGCGGCCACGGCGUAGGGCUUGACCUCGAUAGUGCUGGCGGCGUAGGGCUGGUUGGCGGGCACGUAGGCGCGGGUGGAGCGGUUGAAGCCGGUGGUGACUACAGAGUAGUUCACGUAGGUAAGGUACGCGUUGUUCAUCUCGGUCGCCAGCUGGGUGGGGUCGAUGUAACCAAUGGUCUUACUGUUGAACAUGUUGGUGAGGGUCCGCGUGUUGGUGGUGAUGGUGCGGUUCAGCGUGGGGUCGAACUGCAGCAAGGAAAGGGGGGCAAGGUCACGGGUGGUGGAGGAUACCGUACAUGUCGAACGCGGCAAGCAAGUCGCGCGCUCAGCGUGGGCAAGUGUGUGUGUGUGUGCGGGUGUUUGGUUAUGCGUGUUUUGGAGAGCAUAAUUAGAAGAGAGCGAAACUGUAUGUGAAUGGGAAGGUGUGUGUGUGUGUGUGUGUGUGUGCGCGCGCGCGCAAGGGGGAACGCUUAGCCCGCUGCCGAGGUGAUACAGGCGACAUGAGAAGAAACGCAUGACAACUGGGCUGGUUGCCUAGGUAGCGAUGAUGCUCGUAACAGGGGCCAUUGGUUGUAUCCGCGCCGGGGCAUGCAUGUAAAUGCUGCAGCUGGGCCUCGCCGGUGAACCCACCUGACCAGGGAAGCUGGUGUUCACCGCCACGUUGGAGGCGUUGAGCGAGCGGUAGAUGACGGUGGUCAGGUUGCGGAUGGACUGCAAGGCAAGGGCAAGGAGCACGCGUAGGGUAAGGCGCAGAACUGUUGGGGACUGGGGAGGCAACGUGCCGCGAACGGCAGGACUCGAUACGUGAAAGGCCAAGAGCCCAGCCGGCGUGCUCACACAGCACAAAGCCAAACAGAGGGCCAGGGCUCACCGUCUCAUACUUCAAGAUGUCCUUGCCCAUGGUCAGCGACGGAGCGUAGGCGCCGAAAGCGAAGAUGGCGGCAGACAGGAAGCCGGCAAUGAUCAGGGUGAACACCCAGGCGGCGAAUUGCUGAGGGGAGACGAAGGAUGGGAAAGGGAUGUCAACAAGGCAUGUAAGCAAGCAUGGGCCGUGGGCGGUGUGUCCUGAGUCACAAAUGGCAUUGGCUGCAUCCAUCACAUGACAGGUUACUCCCAUGGCCACGAGCACCCCGCCCCGCACCUUGGCCAGCAGCCUGUAGUUCACGCCGGUGCGGACGCUCUCGACCAGGCCCACACCCAUUUCGGCACCGGUGAUAAUCUGAGUGGUGGACACAGGCAGGCCGUACACGGAGGCGACGGAGAUGGUGAUGCCGGCGGCCAGCUCAGCGCAGUAGCCACGGGCGGGAGUCAUCUGCGUGGCCAGACACGUUUGGGACCACUGUCAGUCUCGCUGCGCAAAGCAAGUGUGGAGCACUGCGCCAUCCCGUACGUUCCAAGUGAUGUUCCCUCUCCAGUGCCAUUUUAACGGCACGAAGUAAAACCCCUUGGGCUGUGCGCACCUUGGCCAGGCCCACGCCCAGGGUCACAAUGAUGUUGUAGCCGUAGGUAGCCAGGCCCACCACAAUGCCGGCGCCGCCCAUAGCAAGCACCCAGAUGGGGGUCUCGCCGUUGGAGGCGACGUUCCAGAAGCGGUACACGUGGUAGAUACCGGCGAAGGGGCCCACAGCGUUGGCGACAUCGUUGGCUCCGUGCGCGAAAGACACGGCGCAGGCGGAGAAGACCUGCAGGUACUUGUACACCUGCUCGGUCUCGGGGGAGAACACCUCGGCGGCGGCGUGCAGGUCGUGGACGGCACGGUCGGUCUCGACGUUCUGCAUUAUUUCAGCCAGGCGAGGGCAUAAGGAGCACAGGCACAGGUCAAGAAUGCACAUGCAGGGGCUGUGUAAUGUGGGCAUGCACGCAUGUCUGACCCAGCAAACUUGAAACAGAACGCAUGUAUGGCGUGACAGACCGAAAGCCUGUGACCAAAGCACCAAGGCCUUCCUAUCCAACGCAAAAAACACUAACCCACCGCAUGGAUGUCCACGUCCAGGCCACGGGUGGCGGCCUUCUUGAUCGAGUUGAAGAUCUUCAUGGCCUUGGAGGUGGGCUCAGCAUCCUCCACACCCUCCUUCUCCUUGCCAGCGUUGGCCUCGGCGUCAGCGGCCUUCUGGGCAGCCCUGCAGGCGCGCCGAUAAGAGCGAAUGUGUCAGCGACAAACAAACAGGAGCAUAAGCAACUCAAGCCGAAACAUGUUCAUACAACCGAGUAUGGGAUGAACAAACAGAUGUGCAGGUGCAGGCGCACGCCAAGGCCUGUCCACCAACCCAACUCACUCGUCCAUGUCCUUGGUGACCUGGCGGCGCAGAAUCCAAGUGCCGGGGAAGCAAGCCAGCACAAACAGGCCUGCGGGCAAAGCACGAGACACAUGUAGGCAUCAAUGACGUGAGAACGCAGGGGCAAGACACGUGAUUGAUGCACCUGAUGCCAUUGCAAACAAGAUGUAUGGAAACUGCGUGUGCUGCGACGCAGCGACGGCGGACCUACUCUGGCAUGGCAUGUGUGUGCAGCCCCUUGCUUAAAACCCGGCCGCGCACUGAGUGCCGCCACAAUCGUAGUAGCUUACCAGCAGCCACCACGGCCGACACCCAGGCGGCCUUGUGGCUGGUCCAGCCCGCAACCUUGCUGGCGCCCUUGUAGAUAACGAAGAAGAGGUUGAUGAACACAGUCAGGAACACCAGCAACGGGAACACCCAGAUGGCCAGGGUGGUGGAGUUCUGGCGGCGCAGCACGAUGAGGCGGUUGAAAAAGUAGAGGACACCGGCAGCAAUGCCUGAAUGGAUGGGCGGGAAGCAGGACAAGCAAGGCAUGAUGGGGUCAGAGGACAGCAAAACAACCAUCACCAUCUAUCAAAAUGCUCAGCACCGCGGUACGUAAUGCACUUAAACAAUUACCCAGCCACGCGUCUACGCACCAGCAGUGAUGGGCGACACGAACCAGGAGCAGAUGACGGGCACCAGACCGGUAGAGUAGGGGAACUCCUUCUUGCGGUCGUUCCACACCACGGCGCCGGAACCGCCCCACACCAGAGCAAAGCCCAGCACGGCGCCGAUGAUGGAGUGGGUGGUGGACACGGCCAGGGACAGGUACGUGGCAAUGUAAAGCCAGGUAGAGGCGGAGAUCAGGGCGCACAGCAUGCCGUACGCAAACAUCUCGGGCAUGUCUUGGAACGCGGCGGGGCGGGCGAUGGAGCCGGCGAUGGUGCGUGCCACCUCGCCGCCCAGGCCCAGGGCACCAGCGAACUCGAAGAUACCGGCGAUAAUGCAGGCCUGGCGAAGGGAGAUGGUCUUGGCGCCGACGGAGGUGGCGAAGGAGUUGGCGACUGCAGAGCGACGCAAGGAGCAGGGUGAGCAGGCAUGAGCGAUGUGCCGGCUGGCGUCCGGUGCUGACAAUGGGCUUGCACACUGGGCAGCACCACUACUGCCAAGUUGUGCAAUGAGCGACAUGUGAAGUUACAUUAGAGCAAGUAAGCCCUUGUCGCCUCACCGUCAUUAGCACCAAUACCCCAGGCCAUGGCGAAUGAGGCGAGGGCGCCGCAAAUCACCAGCCACUGCGAAUAAAGAACGAGCGAUACGAAGGCAUUGGUGUCAGCAAAGCAGUUGUAUCAGUUGAACCACAACCAAAAGGGUCAACCGGACUCAUAUUUACCCCGGCAAAAGCAGGUCAACAGGUUCAACAUUAUAAGGAUGGAAAACCGCGCGACGGCGGGAACGUGAAGCCGUCGGAAACAGCAGUCGGGCUUAACCGUCUAUGUUAGUUCUCAGACAGACAGCGAAACUCUCCAACUCCUACGAGGCCGCUCGAGCGCGACGUCGUCGUCUGCCCGAGUAUCCUUUGCUGGACAGCAGCCACGCGAGCAUGCUAAACUGCUUGCGCUCACCAUGUAAUCGGUCCAAUACUCCGGAGGCAUCUGCGUCGCGCAGAGAAGGCAGGGUUGAGUGCGACGCACAUUUCGUUUACACAGCGCUCAGCUGGACAAAGAGCGGCGGCAGGCCACAAGACAGCGAAGGCAUGCAAGAUUGGAGCAAACGCUCGCUCGCACGCAGGCGCUGCGGGGGACCGCACGCAUCACAGCUACAGUGCACCGCGGGCACCUAAAGAACGACUUGCGCGUGAGGCUCACCUUUCCUGGCUGGUAGCACAAGUCAAAACCAACGAGGGUGGGUGGGUGGGUUGUGUGAACCAGGUGUGGACGCACGACGGUCAGAGCGAGCUGGCAAGGCUCCUGGAAUGUAUUUGGAACACAAUACAUAUGAACGGCGACGAGUUCAUCUUUUAAGAAGCCGCUCGCGAUCGUAUAACUGGAAUUUGCCGCAUAUCCGCUUCGGUAAGGAAUUUGCCUUACUCCGACGGACUCCCCCAAAACUAGUCCCGCAAAUGUGCUAUAUUAAUUCAAUCAAUUCAAGCGAGUAAGCUUUUUCUUUGCGCUACUCCUGUGGCCGCGACCGACCAUCCGCGUGGCUGCGACGGACCCAUGAACGGUUUUCCAAUUCCUACCACGCGCGCGGCGAGGUUAAGCUUUCUGAUGCGAAAAUGUUGCGAAUUCGUCUAAAAUGCACCCUAUUCCACGCAACUUGUUGUGUGCUCAAAUAACGUACGGCCAACGAGAGCGCGCGUCGCCGACCCUUGAUCAACCACGCUCCGGUCGGUAGCACUUUUGCCGUAUACGCCGCGGGCGUUAGGCAGUUCGCCCCGCUGAGGGCAGUGCGGGAACGUGCAAAAUAGAGGCCUCUAAUAGCAUUUGUUGCACUGAUUUGAAAGAUGUAAGCGGUUCUUGCCAAGUCCAAAAACUCUUCUGGAUGUGGCAGCACUAGCCUGUAACUCAGCAAACCGCCGUUAUCUACCUUCGGCUGCCUUCAGUUAUAUUCGCGACGCGUGACCGGACCUAGCGCUCGCUCGCAUCGGCCACUCGGAUCCCUAGACCCCGGCCCCCCUUCCGCUUCGGCUCCGCCUCCCGGCUACUGAUACCGCUACUCACCUGGUGGCUGCAGAUGACUUCGACUUCUUGCGCACCCAUGCUCACAAAUUCUCCAGUGGGGCCCGCAUCCAGCCCCCUGCGGGAUUGGCAAGCCGAGUGCAGACACGCGCGGACAGUCAGCAGCAGCAAGAACUUCAGGGUACAUACCCGACCGUAUGUGGGCGCCCAUCGUGCCGCCCUCCUCUCAGCGCCACCACAAUCCUCCCGCCCCCACGCUCGCCUGGAACACCCUGGUUACGUGAGCAUUCCCAAUAUCGUGAGACCUAAUUUAUGAAUGCAACAUUACAAGAAGGGACAGUCCGACCAAGCAAGGGUGCCCAGCACCCAAGUCAGGCAGGAGGGAACCAAGGAAACCGCCCUCCCCCCCAGCUGGCAGCCGACCUUUACCAAACCGUGCACUAAUGGGGCUUGGGCACGUAGGCCUCCCCACUCUCGCGCGCACUUACCACCAGUACUGCAGCGGUUCUAGCCAGCAGCCGAGCGGGCAUGUCACACGCCCAUGAUCCAUAUGCGUGCAUCGGUCCUGUGGUCACCAAGGGACCUGGCAGCUGUGAGCCUGCACUUCAGGGCAGCCAUUGCCAGCGAGAGACUAGCAGGCACACCGUGGGGGUGGGGGGUGGUCAAGCCCCCAGGUUGGCCCCCAGAUGAAAUGCCGCGGACAUGUAAACAUGCCGUUGCUACAGCUGCAGCUUACCUGGCUCCACCUCGUUGAUGGUAGAAAGCUGCGGCCUUGCGGGCCUGUUGGAGUAAGCAGGUAGGCAUCGUAAGGUUAAUGCAUUUUUACACUGAUAUGAAAGCUAUAAACAGCUCUAGCCAAGGCUCUAUGCGCACCUUGGCCAGGCCCACCACAACGCCGGCGCCGCCCAUAGCAAUCCCCAGAUGGGGGUCUCACCGUUAGGCGACGUUCCAAAAGCGGUACACGUUGUAGAUACUGGCGAAGGGGCCCACAGCGUUGGCGACAUCGUUGGCACCGUGCUCUAACGCCACGGCGCCGGAGAAGACUUGCAGGUACUUGUACACCUGCUCGGUCUCGGGCGAGGAUGGAUCUGGAGGGGGGGGAGAGCGUCGGGCUACCGCGUGCGUGCUAGCGGUUUCCUUACGUGUACACGCCCAAACAUAUACGCGACGUACGCGCACACAUAUCGUUCGGGAAAAUACACCAUUAAUCCUUAGCAGCCUGUCCUUGAAUGCGCAGAACGUACAGCGGGGGGGGGCAGGCAAUUCAUACGAGCUAUUACAACUGUCUUGCGUUCUGUGCGAUGUACAGACGGCACGUACGGUAUCCCCCACCACAUACAGAAACGUGGCGCUACAGGGCGUGCUUCAGGCAGGUAAAUAUAUCCAGAAACGGUGUUGUUAGACACCGAACUCAGUACUAGUACUACUACCAAAUAUACACGGCGUUGACUCAAUCAAAUACAUAAUAAAGUGACGCCUGGACGCAGACGCUGCACGUGCCUCCUAUUGAGUUUAGUUUGUGUGUCGCUCGCGUUUGCGCAGGACAAGCAACAUCACCUCCUGGUGCCUCCCGCCCCCUGCAACACCCUCCCAUUCAUCCUAGUGACGUUGAUGGGUUCUUGGAUCAUAAGAUAAGCCCCCUACUGUGAUCAAUCUGCACCCGUCCGACCCAACAUCGACGAAUUAAUCAAGUUACCCGGACAACCCUGCAAUCCAUAAUGCAACGCAAGAACGCGAGAUGGAAACAGUCGUGGGUGCACCCCACGGAGCUGUGACAUAUUUCAGCGUCCUUUACCGUCCGCCGGCAGCGCCCGCGGCGGGAGCGGCCACGGCGUAGGGCUUGACCUCGAUAGUGCUGGCGGCGUAGGGCUGGUUGGCGGGCACGUAGGCGCGGGUGGAGCGGUUGAAGCCGGUGGUGAUUACAGAGUAGUUCACGUAGGUAAGGUAGGCGUUGUUCAUCUCGGUCGCCAGCUGGGUGGGGUCGAUGUAACCAAUGCUCCUGACGUUGAAUAUGUUGUUGAUGGUGCGCGUGUUGGUGGUGAUGGUGCGGUUCAGCGUGGGGUCGAACUGCGGCCGGGAAAGGGAAAGGGAAAGGCCGUUCAACGCAGGAGGUCGAUCAAGGCUGACUAAGGGCACGGCAAGCCUAAAACCAGGUACACAACAGGGCGGAAGGCCAGCGCGGCUAGGGCCAAGUGCGGGAACAUAGAUGUGCGCGAAGGCUGCAACUGGGCCUCAAACCCACCUGGCCGGGGAAGCUGGUGUUCACCGCCACGUUAGAGGCGUUGAGCGAGCGGUAGAUGACGGUGGUCAGGUUGCGGAUGGACUGCAAGGCAAGGGCAAGGCCGGAGCACGCGUAGGGUAAGGCGCAAAAGUGUCGGGGAUUGGGGAGGCAACGUGCCGCGAACGGCAGGACUCAAGGCAAGAUGUGAAAGGCCAAGAGCACAGCCGGCGUGCACACACAGCACAAAGCCUAACAGAGGGCCAGGGCUCACCGUCUCAUACUUCAAGAUGUCCUUGCCCAUGGUCAGCGACGGAGCGUAGGCGCCGAAAGCGAAGAUGGCGGCAGACAGGAAGCCGGCAAUGAUCAGGGUGAACACCCAGGCGGCGAAUUGCUGAGGGGAGACGAAGGAUGGGAAAGGGAUGUCAACAAGGCGUGUAAGCAAGCAUGGGCCGUGGGCGGUGUGUCCUGAUCACAUAUGGCAUCGGUUGCAUGCGUUACUUGACAUUCCCCGUGGCCACGAGCAUCCCGCCCCGCACCUUGGCCAGCAGCUUGUAGUUCACGCCGGUGCGGACGCUCUCGACCAGGCCCACACCCAUUUCGGCACCGGUGAUAAUCUGAGUGGUGGACACAGGCAGGCCGUACACGGAGGCGACGGAGAUGGUGAUGCCGGCGGCCAGCUCAGCGCAGUAGCCACGGGCGGGAGUCAUCUGCGUGGCCAGACACGUUUGGGACCACUGUCAGUCUCGCUGCGCAAAGCAAGUGUGGAGCACUGCGCCAUCCCGUACAUUCAAGUGAUGUUCCCUCUCCAGUGCCAUUUUAACGGCACGAAGUUAAACCCCUUGGGCUGUGCGCACCUUUGCCAGGCCCACGCCCAGGGUCACAAUGAUGUUGUAGCCGUAGGUAGCCAGGCCCACCACAAUGCCGGCGCCGCCCAUAGCCAGCACCCAGAUGGGGGUCUCGCCGUUGGAGGCGACGUUCCAGAAGCGGUACACGUGGUAGAUACCGGCGAAGGGGCCCACAGCGUUGGCGACAUCGUUGGCUCCGUGCGCGAACGCCACGGCGCAGGCGGAGAAGACCUGCAGGUACUUGUACACCUGCUCGGUCUCGGGGGAGAACACCUCGGCGGCGGCGUGCAGGUCGUGGACGGCACGGUCGGUCUCGACGUUCUGCAUUAUUUCAGC